GCUCCCGUAGCACGGUAGGCAGCGCGUCUGUCUCAUAAUCUGGAGGUCGUGAGUUCGAGCCUUUCCUGCGGCA